GGAAACUCAGAAGACUGGGAAGAAACCUCUUUUGGGGCUGUUUGAAGGCUAUCACAGUGCUAAGAGCUUUUCAUAUGCUCUUAUCUUAACCCUGUGUUACUGGAAAAAACCAGCCACCCACACCCAUUCCCUCUCCCCUACUCACCAGAUAAGACCUGGGAGGAAAAGAGCCGUGUUUCUCAGAAUGUGCAAGGAUCAAGAGCUUCACAGAAAAGCUGUUUUGAGCUUGGGAGACAAAAAGGAAAACUGCCAGGCUUUAUGGGGUUCCCUUGCCUGUACUUAUAUGCAGAGUACAUCAUGAGAAACGCUGGGCUGGAAGAAGCACGAGCUGGAAUCAAGAUUGCUGGGAGAAAUAUCAAUAACCACAGAUAUGCAGAUAACACCACCCUUAUGGCAGAA
ensembl:lncRNA